GCGACGUCUGUCGACGGUUAAUCGACGUGUUGUUAUAAUGCGCACCGGUAAAUGUCUCCACUGUAAUCUGUCAAAUGGUGAAUGUGGAAUCGUGAUACGCCCCGUCCGUUUGAAAACUUAAGGAGAUUAUUUUCAUAUAAGAAGAGUAAUAAUUUGACGUGUGGUGGUGAAUUAUCAAAGUAGAAGAAAUGUUAUAAUUACCUACGUCUGCGCGCUGAUUGUAACAUACCCUUCGCCUUGCCUAAAUGGGUUACUGGCAAUUCGUGUUAAUCUCAAAUACAUAUUGAAUUUGAAGCUUUAGAACAGGCAAAACAGUGUAGUGACAUUUUACUUAACCAGUGUCCUAUAAUUAUAUGCGCAUGUAAAAAUGACAAUAUUUUAAGCAAGUGUAUAUCAGUAUAUAUGUAUAAACAAACACAUUUUUAAUUUCACAACAAUUGUAUAUUACCAAUUAAACACUCCGCAAAUGA